CUGUGGCGUCGGGAGUGAUCCUGGCGUCGCAGGCAAAGCUGGAUCCGCAGCUCAUGAAGCCGCGCUCCUAUGAAGAAUUUGACUAGCAGGGGCAUCCGGGCAAGUGUCCGGACUAUCUGUGGGAUCCGUAGUGGCUUUACCAAAGUCGCUGCUCCAUGACUUUGGAUCGACCAUGUGCGGCUCGCGCCGGUGGUGUCCCCUCACAAGGGUGACCA
rnacentral:ncRNA from 1 species